rnacentral:rRNA from 1 species
CCUACGGGUGGCAGCAGUCGGGAAUAUUGCGCAAUGGAGGAAACUCUGACGCAGUGACGCCGCGUGCAGGAAGAAGGUUUUAGGAUUUGAAACUGCUUUAGACAGGGAAGCAAAAAGACCGUACCUUUAGGAUCAGCUCCGGCCAACUACGAGCCAGCAGCCGCAGUCAUACGUAGGGAGCAAGCGUUUACCGGAUUUACUGGGGGUAACGGGUGCGUAGACGGGAAAGUCAGUUAGUGGUGAAAAACCUAGGCUUAACUGAGGACCUGCAACUAAAACUAGUUCCCUUGAGUAAUGGAGAAGUAAGUGGAAUUCCUGGUGUAGCGGUGAAAUGCGUAGAUAUUAGGCGGAACACCAGUGGCGAAGGCGACUUUCUGGACAGUAACUGACGUUGAUGCACGAAAGUGUGGGUAGCGAACAGGAUUAGAUACCCCUGUAGUC